rnacentral:rRNA from 1 species
GUAUAAUAACUACACAGUAAAACUGCGAAUGGCUCAUUAAAACAGUUAUAGUUUAUUUGAUACAUAAAAUGGAUAACUGUAGAAAAACUAGAGCUAAUACAUGCCUUAACCGUAAGGUUGUAUUUAUUAGAUAUACCAAGUGGGUGAUUCAUAAUAACUUUGCAGAUCGCUGCUCAGCAGUGAUAAAUCAUUCAAGUUUCUGCCCUAUCAUGCUUUCGAUGGUAGUGUAUUGGACUACCAUGGCUCUCACGGGUAACGGAGAAUUAGGGUUCGAUUCCGGAGAAGGAGCCUGAGAAACGGCUACUACAUCUAAGGAAGGCAGCAGGCGCGUAAAUUACCCAAUCCUGACUCAGGGAGGUAGUGACAAGAUAUAACAACGCGAAUAAAUUCGUGAUUGUAGUGAGGGUAUUCUAAACCGAACUUCGAGUACGAUUAGAGGGCAAGUCUGGUGCCAGCAGCCGCGGUAAUUCCAGCUCUAGUAGCGUAUAUUAAAGUUGUUGCAGUUAAAAAGCUCGUAGUUGGAUUUCAAGAGUCGCAGUGUGUCUUCACACUGCUCUCUAUCAGUCUUUGACUGUUACUGUGAGAAAAUUAGAGUGUUUCAAGCAGGCUAUUGCAGGAAUACAUUAGCAUGGAAUAACGAAUGUCUAGAAUCUUGGUUAAUUCUAGAUGAGGAUUAAUAGGGACAGUUGGGGGCAUUAGUAUUUAAUUGUCAGAGGUGAAAUUCUUGGAUUAUUUAAAGACUAACAUAUGCGAAAGCAUUUGCCAAAGAUGUUUUCAUUAAUCAAGAACAAAAGAUAGGGGAUCAAAGACGAUCAGAUACCGUCGUAGUCCUAU